UUGAGAAUUUGAUCCUGGUUCAGGAUGAAUGCUGGCAGUGUACCUUAAGCAUGCAAGUCGAACGGAUGAGGCCGCAAGGCCAAAUCAGUGGCAGACGGGUGAGGAUUGACAGGAACCUACCUUUUGUUGGGGAAUAGCUCGCCGAAAGGCGAGAUAAUACCGCAUAAGAUCGCAAGAUGAAAGGCCUUAACCGGCCGACGAUAGAUGGGCCUGUUUGCUAUCAGCUAGUUGGUGAGGUAAUGGCUCACCAAGGCUAUGACGGCUAGGGGACGUGAGAGCGUGGUCCCCCACAAUGUUACUUAGACACGGAACAUACACCUACGGGUGGCAGCAACUGGGAAUUUUGCACAAUGGACGAAAGUCUGAUGCAGUGACACUGCGUGUAGGAUGAAGGCCCUCGGGUCGUAAACUACUGUGAUAGGGGAAAAAAUUUUGAUGGUACCCUAUUAGAAAGUACUUGCUAACUACGUGCCAGAAGCCUCGGUAAUACGUAGAGUACAAGCAUUAUCCGGAUUUAUUGGGCGUAAAGAGUAUCGUAGGCGGUCUAUUAAGUAACGGGUUAAAGCCCGGGGCUCAACCCCGGAGAUGUCCGUUAAACUGGUAGACUUGUGGAUGUUCGGGGUUACUAGAAUUCUUGGUGGAAGAGUGAAAUCUGUUGAUAUCAAGAAGAAUACCAAAAGCGAAGGCAGGUAACUAGGACAUUCCAGACGCUGAUGAACGAAAGCUAGGGGAGCGAAAGGGAUUUUGACUAGUCCCAUCACGCAGUAAUGCGUGAUUAAAGAAUCGGCUAUAUCGGUGAAAGUCCUUGCGGUUUCGGUUUACUUUCGGGUAUACUGAAUAAGUGAGGAAAACACCGAGGGAAGUUUUUAACUAUAAGAAGAAUGAAUUUUGUUUAACUAAAACUCAAAGGAGCGUUUUAAUUGGAACAAUGUUAGGUGAUAGUGGGUUGAGAUUUCGGGGAAUAAAUUGUCGUUUGCAUAUCAAGCAUAGUCUUAAACAGCUAAGUUUGGUGAAUUACAAAUGGCGUAUUUUUGAACCUAUUAUUUCAAUGAAAGUAAGAUGUUUCAGUCAGAAAGUCGGCAUGAAAGACUACAACUUUGCCGAGUUUGUGACUUUAACUCAUCCUAUUUUUACCUAUUAUUACCAGUUGUUUUAUAAAAACCACAAGAAAGUUGUUGUCGAUGAGAUGGCAACUGCAAUUGAUCCUUUGGUACUGGCUGUUUGGAUUAUGGAUGAUGGAUCUGCAGAAUAUGCUGGUUUAUCAAUCCAAACCCAUAGUUUUUCUGAAGUGGAGGUAAGUUUACUUAUCAAAGCUAUUAAGAAAAAUAUUGGGAUUCAGGCAUCGAAGCGAAUUAAUAAAGGAAAAUAUAUUAUUUAUUUCCCCUUUAGAACCUUGCGUGAUUUAAAAGCCAAGUUGGGUAAGUAUAUCUUGCCUGAGUUUGAAUAUAAAUUUAUUCCAUAUAGGGAAAAACCCCGUAGAGACUGUACGCCGGACUCCGAUGAAAAUCGGAGCAUGAUACAGUCCGAUCUGUGCAGUAAUGUACAGAGUUAACCAGAAAUGAUUAACCGCCUUGAUGAAAAUCGAGGUUAGUAUUCCACUUUGAUGGAAGAAGUAACAGUUAUGUAGAGACCCCUGUAGUCCUAGCCGUAAACUAUGAACACUAGCUAUUUCCCGUAAGGGGAGUGGCGUAAGCUAACGCGUUAAGUGUUCCGCCUGGGGAGUACGACCGCAAGGUUAAAACUCAAAGGAAUUGACGGGGAAACGCACAAUCAGCGUGCCAUGUGGUUUAAUUGGAUACGAAACCUUGAACCUUACCUAGAUUUGACAUGUAACUGCAAAUCCCUGGAAACAGGGACUCCUUCGAGGGUGUUACACAGCUGCUGCAUGGUUGUCGUCAGUUCGUGUCGUGAGCUAU
rnacentral:rRNA from 1 species